GUGGUGAGUUGUAUUCAGCAUUCCAAAAGAUUGUUGAGCAACAGUGGCAGCUCAUCGCGGUAGGUUGCAAUUAGCCUAAUGGUAAGGCAUCAGUCGCUUAAACUGGAGACUGUAGGUUCAAAUCCUACAUUGUAAAUCAAAAAUGCAAAGACUGCCACGGUCAUGUGUGAAAAGUAUCUAAUACUUGACACGUAAGUGAAUCAAGUUUAGUGAAGCUCGCAAGGUGACACUAAUUUGUGGAGGGGGGUUCGUAAGUGGUUAGCACCACCGAAUAGCUCGCAAGGCUAACGGAAUGGAAUCCGCAGAAUAGCACAUGAUGACAAGACUACAGCCUGUCUUUAAAAACGGCGAUACUGGUAACAGACAUAGAUACCGAAAGGGUUUAUGUGGAUGUCAAGAGAAGGUAUGCUCGCAAGGUGUACUAUAAUGCUUGAGGUGUUACUGGUUAAGAUGUAAUCUCAGUCU
rnacentral:ncRNA from 1 species